UACGUAGGUGGCAAGCGUUGUCCGGAACUAUUGGGCCUAAAGCGCGCGCAGGCGUUCUCUUAAGUCUGAUGUGAAAGCACACGGCUCAACCGUGGAGGGUCAGUGGAAACUGAGGGACUUGAGUACAGAAGAGGAAAGUGGAAUUCCACGUGUAGCGGUGAAAUGCGUAGAUAUGUGGAGGAACACCAGUGGCGAAGGCGACUUUCUGGUCUGUAACUGACGCUGAGGCGCGAAAGCGUGGGGAGCAAACAGG
rnacentral:misc_RNA from 1 species